rnacentral:miRNA from 1 species
GCCGAGGCGGAGACGCGGGGGCUCUUCCUGGUGGGCUCUCGUCGCCGUCCCACCGGGUGACGGCGGUGGGGGUGAGGG